rnacentral:rRNA from 1 species
UACGUAGGGGGCAAGCGUUGUCCGGAUUUAUUGGGCGUAAAGCGCGUGUAGGCGGCCAGAUAGGUCUGCUGUGAAAACUCGAGGCUCAACCUCGAGCUGUCGGCGGAAACCAUCUAGCUAGAGUCCGGAAGAGGAGAGUGGAAUUCCUGGUGUAGCGGUGAAAUGCGCAGAUAUCAGGAAGAACACCUAUGGCGAAGGCAGCUCUCUGGGACGGUACUGACGCUGAGACGCGAAAGCGUGGGGAGCGAACAGG